AUAAACAAACAAAAAGUGCAAAGAAAAAUUCUUGCAAAGAAAUUUUUUGUCGGUGUACUUAAUUUGUGUGAGCUGUCUUUAGAUUUUCUACGAACCGACUCGUAUCGUUUCCAGUUUCAGUUUCUGUGAAGAUGGUGUAAAACCUAUUUGAAAGUCUGGAAAUUGUACAGUGAUCUGGGUCUGCAGUAUAAAAAUGGCGAACUCUGAUUAUCAGCAGGAAAUGGCGCAGUAUUUUGGAGAUCCACCGACUAAUCCCACAGCUGAGCCGUCGACUGCGGCGGAUGAUGGCGAUCGCGAAGCGGGAGAAACAGACAACGAGAAUAUGUCAUUCUCCCUGCGCCAAUUCCACGAUGACGGUUUCAUCGACAGUCUGAUUAAGAGCAUUCCGUCCAUCGCAUUGAAUCCGAGCGACGUGGAGCGUCAGACAUAUCGUCUGAAGGACAUUCUGGAUCGCUACCAGGAGCAGCCACAACUCGUGGAUCCUUUUCUGGGAAGAUGGGUACAGGAGCUGAUCGUUUAUGUGAAAGCCUAUGCAGACGAACCGUCUGAGUCCAGCAAGAAAACUGCGAACCUCAGCCUGACGGUUUUGCGCUUGCUGACCAAGCUGCGUGGAUACAAAGUCAUCAUAAAAUUCCUGCCGCACAGUGUUGCGGAUGUCGAACAGUCGCUCGGAUUGGUUGAAGAAUUUAUGAAGCCAGUUAACAGUAUGUUUGAAGACUGGGAGCAGCAGUACAUGUUGUUGCUGUGGCUGUCGGUUGCCGUGCAGAUUCCCUUUGACUUGAAGAAAUUAACCGAUCCCGACGAUAUUGGUACACCUAGAAGCAUCGAAGCCAGGAUCUUCCAUAUCUGUCAGGUUUUUAUUACGGUUUCGGAAAAGACUCGCGACGCUGCGGCAUACUUGCUGUCUCGCUUUGUAACCCGACCUGAUAUGCUGCCGAUCUAUGGAAAACAGAUGAUUGAUUACCUGUUGAAGACGUUAGAAUCUGCGAAAAGCGCUGAUGUGGUGAAGCAGCCGCACAUUUUGUGUGGUGGUUUGGCGGGAAUCGCCAUGAUCUUCAAAUCGGGCACACGAUCUCAUCUUUGCAGUUUAGCUGAAGAUUGCCUGCCAAGAUUGAUGGAGCUGGGCUUACUGGAUUCCCAGUUCAGCAUGGUGCGGAAGUACUGCACCAAGGCAUUUCAGCGGCUAGCAUUAACCUUCCUGCCUACGAAACUUCCUACAUGGCGAUAUAAACGCGGAUUUCGCAGCCUGGAGGAUAAUAUGGCUCCUGGCAAUCUUGGAGCGGGUGAUGUUCGUCCGAAUCCUAUGGGAAACGGCGUACAUUCGCCAUUUGAGGAAAGUGAAACGGAAGUGUCGGCAUAUGUGGAACAAGUUAUUGGUUUAUUGCUGCAAAGUUUAAACGAUGCUGAUGGAAUUAUACGGUGGUCGGCUGCAAAAGGAAUUGGACGAAUUUCGGAGCGCCUACCACAGGGAUUUGCCGAAGAUGUUCUGAACGGUGUGCUGAAUCUGUUUUCGUAUGAACGAUCGGAAAACGCCUGGCAUGGAGGAUGUCUGGCGUUGGCGGAGCUAAGUCGACGCGGCGCAUUGCUUCCUUUGAGAUUUAGUGAUGUGAUGCCGGUGGUUUUGAAAGCCCUGCUAUACGAAGAACUGCGUGGGACUUAUGCGGUUGGAAGCCCCGUGCGUGAUGCCGCUUGUUAUGUCUGUUGGGCUUUUGCGCGAGCUUAUGAACCAAAGGAUUUAGAAGAGUUUGUUAUGGAUGUUGCAAAGCAUUUGGUUCUAACUGCACUAUUUGACCGCAGUGUCAACUGCCGUCGUGCGGCCUCCUCUGCUUUUCAGGAACAUGUUGGUAGACAGGGCAAUUUUCCUCGUGGAUUAGAUAUAAUUCCGAUCUUGGAUUUUGAAUCGCUAGGCCGGCGUUCGAAUACGUACAUGAAGCUAAGCCCCAUCAUAGCAAAGUAUCAGGAGUAUACUUCCGUUAUACUGGACUUCUUGCUUUCUCAUCCUCUUGCCCACUGGGACGUAUCUCCGGAUAGUGCUGUUCGCGAAUUAGCUGCCCAGACACUGUUUUCAUUGACACCUGUUGCACCGGACUACAUGAAACAUUGCGUUGCACCUGAGUUACUGAAACGAAUCGGAAGUAACCAUAUAUUUACUCGGCACGGAGCAAUGAUUGGUUUAGGAUACAUCUGUGAAGGACUGCAUAAUUGUGGGCAGUUUGAUGAUUACCUAGCUAGUCAGAUCAAUCCAAAAGAUGUGUUUCGCGGUUUUGGUCAUGAAUUAAUCCGCCAGGCUGUGAUGAGUUUGAUCUCCCGAGUAAGCAAUGCUGAACUGCCGCUGCAUAACAAGCCCCAUUUAUUAGGCCAAAUGGUCGAACUGGUUCAGUCGAGUGUCGUUGUGGAUAAUCCAAAAAUCCAGGAAAUUGCAGUUAACACACUGCAGUCGUUACUGAAGACAUACGGCACUUGUAUGUCUCCGUCAGAUCAUAACCGUACCUUGCAAGAAGCCUGUCUGGAUCAAGUGCUGCAUAAUGUGAAAUCUUCAUCAGAGCUUAUGAGACGAUACUCGGUGUUGGUCCUGUCCGUGUUCUCCGCCGAAUUCGCUACAAAAAAUCUUAGCGUGAUUACCAAUACGAUUGUGUCCAUUUGUCCACGGUCAUCGUGUCCGGAGCCGCAGUGGGUGGAUUGCCGGCGAAACUGCUGCCGGUCACUCGAUAGAUUACUGGGAGCUGUUCCUGCCAGGGCUUUCAGCAGUGAAGCAUUUUCCGAAGUUGUAGAUUUUCUGGGUGAUUGCUUGUCGGACUACACUGAAGACAAGCGUGGUAAUAUUGGCAGAAUAGUGCGGUUGGCUGCUAUCGACACAACACGAUCCAUUAUGACGCGUAUCGCCCGAACGGACCCUCUGGUACUUACUCCGGAAAGGCUUAAUACGGUCGUGAUAAACUUACUACGGCUAUUUGCCGAGGGCAUACCAGAUUUGCGGGCUCGUGCUGGACAACUUCUCCUGCAUUUAGUGAAAUCUGUUUUUGCAAGUUUAUGCAAGCAAAUGUGACGUGUGGAGAGGAGUACGUACGAGGAUUCCACCGUACAUCCACUGACUGUCCGCCUUUACCUGCAACACGGAUAUCAGUUAAUCAGUUCUGUGAUUCGUUACUCAGUUAUGGCUUAGCGGUGUAUUUGAUGUUUACUUCUGCUAGUCUAUAAAUUCUCAUGUCGCCUCUAAUAUCGACAGCAGUCUUGGAUUUCAGAUUUCGAGACUACUUGCUUUUAACUUUCCUGUGUUGUGCAUAUGAUUGUGUGUUAGCGGAGUAAAGCAUCUUCUGUGAUUAUCGACGUUCGUAAUUUGUAUCGGAUUAUAGCGUGGUAAACACGGUAUGCUCGUACUGCGUCCGACCCGCAUAUGUAACGACCGGAAGUUAGGAGUAUCCAGCACAAUUGCUUAGGGAUUCCAGAUUCUUCGUGUUCCUGAUAAUUUCCUCCAUUUUCUACUGUAACAGUUGAUUUAAGAGUUUGCUCUACCGAUUGAGUCGUGGCAGGAAGUGGUUAGUCUCUUACACUAAACCGUACAGAGUCUCUUCACACGACAUGGCGCCCACCGAUGGUUCGUGAUUUUCCGAUGUUACAGUAAAAUCGUGGAUGGAAUUUAACGGUGGCAGCACCGUUCAAUUCAAUCAGUUCAGUAUCGAAAAGCACGCCGGUUGGAAAUUCGGAAUUUCGAGUUUCUUCCGAGCUCUUCAUUGCGCAAGUACCAAGCACCAUAAACAUAAUUGUGUGCUGGCAAUUUAAGUCUUGAUCUUAUGGGUUGUUUGCCCCCAUCCCUCAAAUUAAUUAUGUCGCGGCAAGCAUCUCCUGAAAUUCCAGAAGAGCCCCCUACUGCGCCGCCGUUUGUUCCAACUAGACAACAGCGGGCGCAGGGUAUUCAUGUGCGCAACAACGAUCAUCCUUUCGGAUAUCGCCCGGGAUCUUCAGCGGACUUGUCAGUGGGCAGAGUGACCAGAUCGCAUGCUGGCCGAUCAUCUUUUGGCCCACAGAACGCAGCGGCAAAUGCGGCGGAUAAUCAGCCAUCAUCGGCCGAUACUGCUGAACGGAGUGUCUUGGUUCGUGGCAAUGCGCGCCGCGGGAUUUUCAAUGAAACACCGGAACAGACGCACUGGCGUAAUGCCCAGCCGUCGUCUUCGUCGUCGAAUAGCAGCACCCCGCCGCGAAAGACAAAUCCCCGCAUUCGCUUGGUCUGGUGCCUUUAGCCUGUCGGAAACGAGCUGUGAAUCGGAGGAAGAAGAUGAUGCAGUUAAACCGCAGCCAGCAAUGCGUCCGAUGCGUCCUGGUUUUGCACGACGCACAGGAGUGGCAGUGGACAUGGCCCCACAAGAAGCAGAAGAACCACGCUCGUUGGAGUUAGAAUACGGUCAACCAACGCCACCAAAGAGCACUAUUCUGGACAACAAGGGCAUGUUCCCGCAGAAUCCGUUUGUGCCAUCAAUUUUCAUUAAGGCUAAGUAAUUUAAGCAGUUUUCCGUUGUUACAGUAUGCUUCUUUUGUUGUUCAUCAUGCAUUUAUUGUUAUUGCGGAGUUUUCGCUAUUUUGAAAGCUUCCGUGUUGUUCACAAUCUUGCAGUUGGGAUCUGUAGUUUUGAACGCUUUUAUUUGCAUUUUAUCUCGUCGGUAAAUCGCCCUUUUGGCUGAUGAUCUGUAGUCUUUUGUUAACCUGCCUAGUCUAACAGUUUUAUCGGAAGAUUGAAUCUGUAUGCAGCCGCCGAUGACGUAACGGAAUUUAAGAGAAUUAAAAGAGCUUUAACCGCAAGUUGUGAUUGGUCAGAAUUGUCGGGAAGUUUCCACACGUACUAGUAGCGGUACAAAUCGGCAAAUUAGCAGUAUAUAAGCGCACUCCUGCAGAGUUAAUCGGCACAGUGCUGUCUCAUUUGAAUUUGCACUUUUUCGGCGCCGCACCGGCGAGUUAGAAGUUUUUCAGUUCCCGGUGUAACUUUUUGUGUUUCUUGUUGUGUGAGCUAAAGGUCAUCGUUUUUGUUGUGUGUUAUGCGGAGUGAUGCCGCCGAUUGAUCCGAAUCGAGCCUUCGAAAAGCUCGUCGAUGCCGUUUUCCAAUCCUCCCAACAGCACCAGCAGCAUGGAUACCGUGGUGGGUACCACCGUGGCGGUUUCCGUGGAAGAUUUCAGUCGCGUCGCGGUCAACAUGUGCGAGGCCACGGAGUCGACAAUCUCCGUCGUGGCCCACCAGCUUGGAUUCGUGGAGGCAGACCCCUGGGGCAGCCGUCACCUAAUCAGAUUGCUGCUGGACAUGAUGAUCCACCUCAGCGCGUGGCGGAUCCCAGCGUCCCUAUGGACGUCGAUGCCGCGCAACCUGCGCCGCCGGCUCCACCAGCUGAAAACCCGAAUCAUGGACCUGUGGUUCCGCCUGGCCCCGUUGGUUCUCAUGCUGAUCGGCAUUUAUCAGGCGCGAAUAGUGGCGUAAGUGACCUUUUGCCUGUUCCUUCUGGUGUUGUUGUGCCUGCAGUGGCCCCGGUGAGUGUGCAGCCUGUUCCGUUGUCGUCGCAUCCAGGAUUGCCACCGGGUGUAGAACCGUUUGUUUCGCCAACAGCAGUACCAGUGCGUGACCGCUCAGCAUCGCGUGAUAGGAUCGGAAAGCCGUCCCAUGAUUUCGUACCGAAUUUCGUCGCGGAUCAGGAGUUACUGCAACAGAAACACCGCGAAGCAGAGAUGGAAAAGCGCCGUAAGAUGGCCGAAGAAGUCAGUCGCCGUUUGGAUGCAGUAUCAGCCUCGUCGAAUGUUGGCCAAACCGGAUUAUUCUCUUUAGCGCCGAGCAGCAGCAAGUAACGCAUUAAUUUUCGAUUUAUUUUUGUUUUAAUGCUGGUCAUUUGCCGUGUUUUGAUCUUGUUAUUGUUUCUGUGAUAUGACCCUGAAUCUUGUUGCUCAUUUUAUUUUUUGUUAUUUUUGGAUUUUACUGCUGUCAAUUAUGACUUGUCAUUCGGAAGGCCAUUGUUGUGUUGUUGUUAUUUUACUGAUGUGUGUUUUGGGACAAAUUCGGAUUAGACCGUCGUCCCAGUGAAGGAUUGACCGUACGCAACCCUCAGGGACCCUAAAAUAAUGAA